GAAUGUGAGGGUAACCUGGCUGCUGUCAGCCUUCACCCAGCUCUGUAAGGGCUGAUUAGGCUGAGACUGACGAAUGCCCCUUUCCUCAUGUACCGUUCCACGUGCUUCCCCCCAAGGCUGAGCAGUCUGCUGAAGAGUGCCCCCUCCAGAAGAGGCCCUCACUGGCUGCGCAGUGAAGGAGCAGCUGUGUCCCUGCCCUGCUCGGUCCUCCACACAAGCUUCGGUCUCUUGGUAGGAGGAGUGGGAUAAUCAAGCUUCCANNNNNNNNNNN
rnacentral:snRNA from 1 species